rnacentral:piRNA from 1 species
UUGAAGCCUUUCCUGUAAGAAA